GUUAUUCAAAUGCUCAUUCUACAUUGAAAUCAGCAUGGAAUGUGUAAUAACAGGAAAGAGAAAUAUACAGACUCUCUGUGCUUGGCAUGGCAAUGUGUCACGUGGCUUGAAAAGGCGUCAAGUGAAUAGAGAAGAUUCUAUGGAUGUAGAAGAGGUCCCUGGGUUUCCGAAUUGCCACUGGAUUGCCUCUAUCAAAUACGCAAGAGUUUCAUGAGUGAGAAAUAACCUUCUGCUGCUUUAAAUCUUGGGUUGUGCAAUACAUCAGUGAGCCUACCAUGACCAAUACAUUCUAUGGAUGCAGAUUUCUCUUCUCUGGCCGUUGACAUGAGUGUGCUUUCUGGAUGCAGUCACAGGGGACCCAAGAUUCUUGGACAGAAUUCUCGCCGGGAGCCAACUCAGCCUGAUCUGCUGGCAUCUCUCAAGUAUCAGAAGUCAACAAAAUGGUUUGCCUUGAAGACUUGGCCAGAGCAGCAGCCAAAGUUCAUCAGGCUUUCGUAGAGAGAUUGUUGGUGUAAGAAAACAAAAUUCUAAGGGCUCCCAUUGUGCAGCUGGGGUGGCAAAAUGCAAACUAAUAUAAGGAAAAAAAAUGCUUUUCAUUUCCAUGGAAGAAAUGACCCAUCCUAUUGUUGAUAUUUCCUUUUCUGUGCUAACUUAUUCCAUUAGGCUCUCAUUUUAUGAGAUAAUUUCACUGCAUGCGUAUCUUCUUUUGGUUAUUACACAAGGACUGUUUUCUAUGGUUCAUAUCUAAGUCCAACCCUGGAAAAAUCUUUUUUUUUGAGACAGACUUUUUUGUUUUGUUUUGAGACAAUACUCCCUCUAUUGCCCAGGCUGGAAUGCAGUGGUGAGAUCAUAGCUCACUGCAACUUCUGCCUCCUAGGCUCAAACAAUCCUCCCACCUCAGCCUCCCAAGUAGCUGGGAUUGCAGGCAUGUGCCAUCAGACCCGGCUAAUUUUUGGAUUUUUAGUAAAGUUUUGCCAUGUUGGCCAGGCUGAUCUUGAACUCCUGCCCUCAAGUGAUCUGCCCACCUUGGCCUCCCAAAGUGCUGGGAUUACAGGUGUGAGCUACCGUGCCCAGCUCAGCCAUGGAACAAUCUUGAUGUAUAAUUUAUCUGCAGGUAUCUCCAUCUCUAUUUGCCACUCUUAGUAAAUGUUUUAGUUUGACAGUAAACGAGUUGAGACAUUAAUGAUUGAAAGAGCACCUAAGCAGCCUGAAGUGCUGGGAGUCUGUCCUAAAGAAUUAGAUGCACACAGCUUUUUUCCCUUACAGACACUUUACUGAGCAGUCAUGUUGGACUUGGGUGGCAUCUGCUAUUAGACACACUAUUCACCAAUAAAACCCUGAAAAUUGCAUUGCACAGGACUGAUAAAAAUAAGAUGACUCAAGAUACGUAUUUAUGGUAUAUAUACACAGAAAAAGAAUGAAAGUUUGAGGGGGUAUUGCCUCUGGGAGGAAGAGUUAUGAGUAGUUUGUAUUUCCUUUUUUGUUAAUCUGUAUUUCAUUUUUUAGGCAAUGCAAAUAUAUUAUUUAGACAACAAAAUACUUAUUAGAAAGAAAAGACAUGCUGGGUUUUUUCCCCUUUAUUCUUUGCUUUUCUAAGAGGAAACUUUGACAAUUGCUUGUGAGUGAUACCUGUGUUCUGGUAGCUUAGGAAGACAGAAUGUGGUUAGGGAAGGAUAAGAACAGGUGGCUUCAAUAAAUGUACUCAAGGCUAAUGUACCC